GAUCCUGGCUCAGAACGAACGCUGGCGGCAUAAGGAUUAGGCAUGCAAGUCGAACGGAUGCAGCAAUGCAUUAGUGGCGAAAGGGUGAGGAACGCGUGAGUAACCUGCCCCCAAGUUGGGAAUAACAGUUGGAAACGACUGCUAAUACCUGAUGCGAUUGUUUUUCGGCAUCGAGAAACAAUUAAAGAUUUAUCGCUUGGGGAUGGGCUCGCGUCCCAUUAGGUAGUUGGUGAGGUAACGGCUCACCAAGCCGACGAUGGGUAGCUGGUCUGAGAGGAUGGUCAGCCACACUGGGACUGAGACACUGCCCAGACUCCUACGGGAGGCUGCAGUCGAGAAUCUUCCGCAAUGCGCGAAAGCGUGACGGAAGCAAUGCCGCGUGCCGGAUGAAGGUCUUCGGAUCGUAAACGGCUGUCAGAUGGGACGAAUAAAGUGACGGUACCAUCAAAGGAAGCCACGGCUAACUACGUGCCAGCAGCGGC
rnacentral:rRNA from 1 species